AAAAAAAAAUCGUGGCGCGGCCUUGGCGGGGUUGGAGGCGAGGAAGGUUGGGGGUGCGUGGACGAGGGCAAGGGCGAGGGCGAGGGCGAGGGCUAGAGAAUGAGGGUGAGAGGCGAGACGGACCGUUUCCGCCUCCGCUCUGCCGGCGAGAAAAAAAAAGAACGAGAGAAACGAAGAGGAGAGAGAAAGAGGAAAGAGGAAAGAGAAAAAGUAAAAAGGGUAUUUUGGUCAGUCUGCUGAAAAAGUGGACCGAAUCUGCAAAAACGAAAAAGGUGGUCCGAUUUUGCAAAAGCCCAAAAUAAGUAGAUUUUUUAUGCAAAUUGGCCAAAAAUCUUUAUAGUA
rnacentral:lncRNA from 1 species